rnacentral:rRNA from 1 species
ACGCUCGACACCUACGGAGGCAGCAGUGGGGAAUAUUGCACAAUGGGGGAAACCCUGAUGCAGCGACGCCGCGUGAAGGAAGAAGUAUUUCGGUAUGUAAACUUCUAUCAGCAGAGAAGAAAAUGACGGUACCUGACUAAGAAGCCCCGGCCUAACUACGUGCCAGCAGCCGUGGUAAUCUGAGCGGGCUGGCAAGGC